UCAACUGUCGACUGUGGCAUAGACGCCCAUAGUGGUUUUGACGGGUAACGGGGAAUCAGGGUUCGAUUCCGGAGGGGGAGCCUUAAAAACGGCUACCACAUCUAAGGAAGGCAGCAGGCACGCAAAUUACCCAAUGACCGAAGGUCGAGGUAGUGACGAAAAAUAACGAUAGAGGACUCAUCCGAGGCCCUCUAAUUGGAAUGAGUACACUUUAAAACCGUCCCCGAGGAUCUAUUGGAGGGCAAGUCUGGUGCCAGCAGCCGCGGUAAUUCCAGCUCCAAUAGCGUAUAUUAAAGUUGUUGUGGUUAAAAAGCUCGUAGUUGGAUCUCAACAGCCUUGAAGCGGUUAACUUUGUAGUUUUACUGCUUUAUAGGCUGUGCUUUUGCUGGAGGUUUAGGGGUGCUCUUGAUCGAGUGUCUCUGGAUGCCAGCAGGUUUACUUUGAAAAAAUUAGAGUGCUCAAAGCAGGCUAAAAUGCCUGAAUAUUCGUGCAUGGAAUAAUAGAAUAGGAUGUCGAUCCUAUUUUGUUGGUUUUCGGGACUCGACAUAAUGAUAAAUAGGGACAGUCGGGGGCAUUUGUAUUCAAACGACAGAGGUGAAAUUCUUGGACCGUUUGAAGACAAACUACUGCGAAAGCAUUUGCCAAGAAUGUUUUCAUUAAUCAAGAACGAAAGUUAGAGGUUCGAAGGCGAUUAGAUACCGCCCUAGUUCUAACCAUAAACGAUGCCAGCUAGCGAUCUGCCUGCGUUUUUACUGUAGACUGGGCAGGAAGCUUCCGGGAAACCAAAGCAUUUGGGUUCCAGGGGAAGUAUGGUUGCAAAGCUGAAACUUAAAGGAAUUGACGGAAGGGCACCACCAGGAGUGGAGCCUGUGGCUUAAUUUGACUCAACACGGGAAAUCUCACCAGGCUCGGACACUGGAAGGAUUGACAGAUUGAUAGCUCUUUCUUGAUUCGGUGGGUGGUGGUGCAUGGCCGUUCUU
rnacentral:rRNA from 1 species